ensembl:lncRNA
CUCUUUCUGGAGAUCCUCCUCUUUGGUGGAGCUUUCCCCUGCAAGCCUGGAACCUUCUGAUAUGGGCGGUAAUUAUGGUUAUUUAGGGUGACAGGAUCCUCCUGAAGGCCAUGCAUUUGAUCCUGCUGCUUCAAGUGACUUCUGUGGAAGACUGUAAGCCAUAGCUUUUCUGAGCAGAGAGCUGGAACAGGUUAUAUGGUCACUUAAUGCCAGUGCAAAAUUGAACAAAUGCUGUUCAGUGCAAAGGAGCUGAGCAAUUCUGAUUGCCUGCCUUCCUCUGCCUCUAAGUACCUGCAGCAGCAAAGCUCGAGUCUGUGCAGGUGGGUUAUCUACAACUUGGACUCAUUGCGGAGACACUGAUGGGCUCUUGGACUGAGCCCAGCAGGAGCUACAGAGGAAUAUUAGCUGCCUGAAAACUGUGUGUGACUCACAGGUCUCCUACGUGUGCCUUCACCCACAUACCCUUCCCUUCAUGCUGUUUCCAAGCACAAGGACUGCUGGAUUUUCUGCUCUUCCCCCCACCAUCCCCCCAACCACGUUUUCUUUUUUUUAAAAAAAUAGCUGUGAAUGAUUGGAACAGGUGGUGCUGUGAGUUCCCAACAGUGUAAAUAUAUUCAGGCCACAAAUGGGGCAAGCAAAACAGACCAAUUGGAGCUGGUUGCCUCCUCUUCUGGGGCUCUAUAAGCAGAGGUGCGGGGUAUGAGAUGAAGCACAAUGGGCCUGACAGCAAUAGAGACUGGCAUGGAAUAUGUGAGUGACACUGGUAGUGUCUAGAAGCCAAUUAAAGCUUAUUUAAAAUAUUAGCAUAUCAGCAGGCAGGAAUUCUUCCGACUGGAUUGGUUUCACUAGGGGAUCAGGGAAUAGGGCCAGUGUUCAGCUAGUAAUCAUUCUUUUCAACACGAUUGCAUUCAUCGCCUGACCUGCCAGGGCACUGCUGGAGGAGGCUGCAUCCCUGGGAAGGGUUAUUCCUAGCACUGCAGUCCUGCUGCAGGAGCUGCACCAGUGAACGGCAGUGUGGGGAUGAGUUCCCACUUGGGAGCCAUGAAAGCAAACAACGAAGCAGCCCUGGUUUUGUGCCAGUGUGUUUGUGGACUGGAUGAAGGAGGGAAAAAGCUUUAAAAAAAUAAUCCCUGCUUUUCCCUGUCAAGUUCUCCCCGGUAUAUAUUUAUAUUUAGUGUCUAUUUAGCAGUGAAGAGGAGAGGGCUGUCUGGGAAAGUGGUUUGAUGGGAGAGAGUGGGUUUGUAAUCCAGACAUAUUCAAAGACAGCCUUAAAUAGAGCAUUAAUAAACUGAGGGGUUGAAGAUUGCAGUCUUCUAUUUUGGUGAAAAUGGAGCUUUCUGUGUGUGCCAGCUGCUGCUCACAUGCAGGAGAUGUUGGUCGCUGCGUGAAGGAGCUUUCACUUGUGUAUUUGCCUGCAGCGCACAAGCAUUCCUGGGAAUCUUCCUGUUAUUUGGGAUACUUUGGUGUCAAGUCCAUAAAAGAAAAAAACAUGGAAAAAGAGGGAGCAGAGCUGGCUUACUGCAUGCCUUGUGUAUGUGUCAGGGUGAAACAAGCAGCACUGUGGUUGGUUUGGGGGCACAAAGCAGUCAGACCCUGUGGUGUGAUCAGGGAAGUACCUUGUGGUUUUUCCCUUUCUCCCUGAGUGGAAAUUUGGGCUCUGAAGCAUUGCCAAGCAGUGCCCGUUCCUGCUGCCUGCCUGUCUCCUGGGCUGGAUAGGCUGCGGUCUUGAUCCUUCAUCUGUAUAGUGUCCUUUUCCCUUCAAACUGUACUAGCAGUUGGAGAAUUAGCAAAUCUUUUCAGCACUCAAAUGUCAAACCACAGCCAAAAUCACUGUGCUCCUGUUUGUUUUUUUUUUUUUUUUUUCCUUCCUGUCAAGGUCAUGGUGCAUUUUGAGACUUUUUCCUGACUGCUCACUCCAGGUGAGCACUGGUGUUGGGAAUCCCACCUGCAGUAGAUCAGUGCCCUGUGGCUCUGCAGGAGCAGGCCCCAGUUACCCCCAGUGUAUUUGCUCCAUGGGCAAUCAAGCCAUGAGCUCUUCAUACUUGUAUUUUUGUUGAUAGAUAUCAAUAUUGGAAAAUUACAUGUUAUGUUGCCUGGUUACUGUGAGGUGGAGAAGUAGCAAGAACUUGGUUUCUGGGGGUGGCUGCAGAUGGGUGCGCAAGCAGUUUCCAUGAUAUAGGGGGGGAAAUUCAAGACCUGGAGCACUGCAUGAGAAAUCAAGUCUAUAUAUCCAAGUAAACUGGAAACCACAUUAGGAGUUAGCUGACUAGAUACAGCUUCUAUGGACCUAGACUUGGGACAUGGCAAUCUGAAGGUCUGUGCAUACCCACACUAAUAGUACUGAAGUUGACAGGGAAAGGUGGCCUCUAAUAACUCUGUAUCAGCAAAGCAGACAUAGCGUGCUCCCCAGACUGACUCUGAUAAUCAUUUCCUGCUGAUGCUUUGCCCAGCGAGUCUGUCACUCAAAUAUCUGCUGAGGGGAUGAGUCCGUGCCUGCCAGAGUCCUCGCCAAGGAGGAACAAGGAAGAUGGGGAGGUGACCUGGACUGGUGUCUGUUGCUGCACUCUGAGGAAUUUCACCUCAGGAAAAUGCAAAUGGACUUAGAACUAAUUUUGUUCAAGAACGUGAGCAGGCACUCAGAGGGCCUUUUUUUCCCCCUCUUACCAUGACUUCUCUAAUUACUGGGAUGAAUGUGUAAACCCUCAUGCUGAAGUGUUCACAAGAGUGAGUUUACUCAUUUUACCAUUUCUUGGCAUAAAAAGCAUCGUAUUAAGCAGGUUUUAAGGUUUUCUCACCAAGAGAUGUGGAUUAUAAAGCUUUAGAAAUAACUUGCAUCUGGAAAAGCCAAUUAAUAAAACAAAAAUUCUGAU